GGGUUGUGAGGUUAAGCGACUAAGCGUACACGGUGGAUGCCCUGGCAGUCAGAGGCGAUGAAGGACGUGCUAAUCUGCGAUAAGCGCCGGUAAGGUGAUAUGAACCGUUAUAACCGGCGAUUUCCGAAUGGGGAAACCCAGUGUGACUCGUCACACUAUCAUUAACUGAAUCCAUAGGUUAAUGAGGCGAACCGGGGGAACUGAAACAUCUAAGUACCCCGAGGAAAAGAAAUCAACCGAGAUUCCCCCAGUAGCGGCGAGCGAACGGGGAGGAGCCCAGAGCCUGAAUCAGCAUAUGUGUUAGUGGAAGCGUCUGGAAAGGCGCGCGAUACAGGGUGACAGCCCCGUACACAAAAGCGCAUGUGCUGUGAGCUCGAUGAGUAGGGCGGGACACGUGGUAUCCUGUCUGAAUAUGGGGGGACCAUCCUCCAAGGCUAAAUACUCCUGACUGACCGAUAGUGAACCAGUACCGUGAGGGAAAGGCGAAA
rnacentral:rRNA from 1 species